CUGAAGUCCCCUGUGAUUGGCGGAGACGAUGAGACUGAGAGUAUAUAAACCCCGCAAGUCUCGAGGAACCGCAGACGCUCUCAAGCCACCGCAGAGGAAGGACGCAGAGGGAACAUUGGGAGAGGAAGAGUAGGAUAUUGAAGGAUUUCUAAGGAUAUGCUUGUGUUCUUCCUCCCUGUGACCUUGAUUUUGGUACACCUGGGUGCCAAAAGUGUACUGGCCCUCCCAAUCCUUCCAGACGAACCAGAUGCGAGGGAACACCAAUGGGCAGCCAUGUAUCCGCCCUUGCGCCCAUUCCCCCAUCAGACAGCCUUGUUGGGAGAGCUACUAGGCGCCCACGCACGGCCGAACCACUCCCUCCCACGCCUGCAGGAGCCAUCACGCCCACGCCCACAAACCCCAGAGGCCCUUCAGGAAACGGAGAGGGGAGAAAGGGGAGAGAGUAAGAAGAGGAUUGAAAGGGAAGAGGUUGGGGGCGUGUCGCUGUCUCUGCCCCCCCAUAUCCCCCGUCAGCGCCCCCCAGCAGAAGAGGAAGGAGGGGGCUAAGAUCCCCUCUGUAGGCCUCGGUAAGGGGGCUCGGUUCUACCCUUAUGUUGCAAUAGGUGUCCUCUCCGACCUGCGCAAUUUUUUCACCGAGUUGCGCACAAACCUGGACAGCGUGGAGGCCUUGGCGCAGGAGCAGGGUGCCGCCUCCCUGCAUCCUGAGGACCUGCUGGCGCUGCUGGCUAAGGAGGAAGCUCGCAGCCAGGCCUUAGCGGGGCUCUCCAGCGACACACUCCCCCAGGGCUUCCCCAUACGCAGCCUUAUGUUCGGCACGGGGCCCAAAGACCAACGUUACGCCAACUCCGGCCUGGGAAAAUAGCGGUUGAGUGGAGACGCUGACGGAGGCGCGGACGGAGACUGCUGACGGAGGCACUGACGGAGGCACUGACGGAGGCACUGACGGAAAUAUAAGAGCAGGCGCAGUCCAAUGGAAAGAGCGAGAAAUAAAUAAGUAAAAAAGGCCCAUUGAGGUGGAAAAUGAGAAAAACGUCAUCUAGAAUUGAAGGAUAAGUGUCUUGAAACUGCCAUCUUGAGAGAUACUAACGGAGGGACGCCAUCUUGUCUGUCUGUCUGUCUGUCUGUCUGUGUGUCUGUCUGCAAGUGCUGCGCUGUUUUCCUUCUCUGGCGUUCGGUAAAAAAAAAAAAAAUCAACAUGGAUGACGGAAAUUGAGAGCAAGAGAAAAUCUUAAAAAAAAAAAGAAAAAAGAAAACGAAGAGAAAGAAAGAUGCCUUCAUUUACAAGUUAGAGGUAAAUAAAGUGACAGAUAGCAUUUGUUUACA